rnacentral:tRNA from 1 species
UUCCCUGUAGCUCAAUGCAUAGUGCGUUGAACUUCUAAUUCAAAGGUCGUGGGUUCGAAUACCACCUGGGAUA